rnacentral:misc_RNA from 1 species
GGAAGAGAGGGGAACCUUUUCAGUGGGUCUGCCAAUGGGCUUCCAACAUAAUCAGGGAUAAAUUGGGGGGACAUUGGGGUUGAGGAUUCAGAGCUUAUAUCUGAGAGUGAUGAACGAUAGACCACUGAAAGGCAAAGCCUACCACAGGAAGUAUCCACAGGAGUGAACCCAAAUCGCUGCAUUUCAGCCUCUUCCUUGCAAGUGAAGGACUCAACAAAAGAAGAAACCCUGUGAGUAAGGGUAAAUGUGCGAAUCUGUCCAGACGAAUUGAGAUCACGGAAAAUCUUAUACGCAGGUAGAAGCCUAACAGUUGCAUACAAAGACCUCAAAAGUAAUUUCUUAUACAACAUAUUUAAAGUAUUACUUGAUCUUCUAUUGCCCGUACCAUUAUCCCUUGAUCUCCUACUUUCAUAUUGCAGUACCCAUCUCUCUAUAGUUUUUUCAGUCUUAGCCUCACAUCGUAACUCUUCUUGAUCAGAAUUCCAACUAAAAGCAUAAUGCUCCUUUGAGGAAGGAUUCCUAGCAAAAUCUUUUUUCAGGGAACAAUUUACUGGGUCCCAAUCAAGUGGUCUCUGCACCAAAAUCACAUCA